GAGGUUGUAGAUCAGUGGUAAAGAGCUUGCCUUGCAUGCAUGAGGCCCUGGGUUCAAUCCUCAGCACCACA
rnacentral:tRNA from 1 species